GCAAGUCGAGCGCGAAGACCAGGAGCUUGCUCCUGAGAUUCGAGCGGCGGACGGGUGAGUAACACGUAGGCAACCUACCCUUGAGAUUGGGAUAACUACCGGAAACGGUAGCUAAUACCGGAUACGACCUUCCUGCAUAAGUAAGAAUGUUAAAAGGCGGAUUUAUCUGCCGCUCAUGGAUGGGCCUGCGGUGCAUGAGCUAGUGGGUGAGAUAGUAGCUGACCAAGGCGACGAUGCAUAGCCGACCUGAGAGGGUGAGC
rnacentral:rRNA from 1 species